rnacentral:rRNA from 1 species
UCCCGGCCUAUCAGCUUGUUGGCGGGGUAACGGCCCACCAAGGCUAAGACGGGUAAUUGGUCUGAGAGGACGAUCAGCCACACUGGGACUGAGACACGGCCCGUCUCCUACGGGAGGCAGCAGUGGGGAAUCUUGCGCAAUGGGCGAAAGCCUGACGCAGCAACCCCCCGUGGGGGAUGAAGGCCUUCGGGUUGUAAACCCCUUUCAGCAUGCACCAAAAUGACCGUACCUACCUAAUAAGCUCCGGCCAACUACGUGCCGACUGCCGCGGUAAUACGUAGGGGGCAAGCUUUGUCCGGAUUUAUUGGGCGUAAAGAGCUCGUAGGCGGUUCAGUAAGUUGGGUGUGAAAGCUCCGGGCUCAACCCGGAGAGGCCACUCUGUACUGCUGUGACUAGAGUCCUCUUCAGGAGCGUGGAACUCCUGCUGUACUGGUGAAAUGCGCUUAUAUCCGGAAGAACACCGGUCGCGAACGCGGCGCUCUGGGCUGGUGCUGACGCUGAUGAGCGAAAACUUGCUUAGGAAACCUGAUUAAAUACCCUGGUAGUCCAUGCCGUAAACGUUGGGCACUAUCGUGUGGGGAGGAAUCAACCCUCUCCGUGCCUUGGCUAACGCAUUAAGUGCCCCGCCUGGGGAGUACGGA